UAUUAACGGUUUUAACGAGCAAGUUCUUCUCACGAGCGUGAGGAAACCUUCCUCGGUUGCGGAAUAUGCAGCUCUUAGAGUCUCCUCUGUAAUGCCGCCAUGUUCUUUCGACAAUCCUACAAAAGAACAGUUUAAUCAAGAAGCUGACAAAAGGAACAAGACAAAGGUUCAGACAAGUUUUUUUUGGACCAAGAAAAAGGUUCAGACAAGUUUUUUUUUUUUGAUAAUCCAGGAUAUCCGAACCCGAAGGUCUGACUAAUUUCCUGGGGGACAGCUCUACCGAUGACAGGCAAGUCCGGUUGCUCUACGUGGAAAUUAAGUACCCACACUGCCUAACCAUACAAAUGGGUAAAUCUAAAUGGUAGGUUUCGAACCAGAGACGUACGAACCUGCUGUACUAAUGACAGCAGGCAAGUCCGGUUGUUCUACGUGGGAGUUAAAUAACUAUGCCGUCUAACCACCCAAAAUGGAUAAAUUUAAGUGGUAAGUUUCGAACCCAGGAGGCUUAGCACAUUUUCCAAUUUUCCAUAACAUCCGACCACAUCCGCGUGGUUAGGUUCAAACAAGUUGCAACAGACAAAGCUAUACAAACCAAUCAAGAAACAAACAAAACAGAGAAAGAGAGACAAAGUCAAAAGAAGAGUUUUGUAAUCUUCACAAGACAGCUCAACAAAUGUCAAACAAGUUGUCUAAAGUCAAGAUUCAGUUCACUGUUCAU